AAAUCAUUGUUUAAUAGCAAGGGACGUGUUUACAACUAAAAUUUACCAUCAGUUAUAAAUCGAGAUAUCAAAUUUAUUUCCGUAAUUUUGUAGCUACACACAUGGAAUAUGUGUGUAGAUUCAGACACAAGCGGCUUUUUCGUACAUCUGUAACUACGCAGACCAAACUCCAAGGCCCGUCUUUUGAUAGUGGAGAGACUGAUGUCGAGUUAAACUUCGGAUUUAGCUUCUCUUGGAUUUGGUGUAUUUGUAAAGAAAUUUUUUAUUUGCCGGUCUUCUCUUACGGUUGUAGCACGAGGCCUACCUCCUCUGUGAACUGUGGGGAUAUUCUCAGUCCGAAUAAUACGGCAAAUCGUUGAUUUAUGUAUGGAAUAUUUUAACGAUAUUUCUUUUUGCGAAAGUCCAUUUCUAAAAUCUUCUUUUACUUUUGCUUUAAAGUCCGAACUAUAUUUAUUGCCUCCCAUUUUCAACCGAAAAUAUUACAAAGAUCACAAAACACGGAAAAAUUUGUUAAUUCUAGAAACGCGAAAGACUGAAUGCAAACUCUUAGUAAAAUAAAAACGCAUGAAAUUCCACUAAUUAUGUGGAAUGCGAUUACCGUUAUAACUUGUUUUUUGUUAAGUAGCAAAAUAAAAUAAAAAUACAGCAAAUAUCAGUUGCAAAUGUUUUGAA